rnacentral:rRNA from 2 species
UAGGGAAUCUUCGGCAAUGGGCGAAAGCCUGACCGAGCAACGCCGCGUGAAUGAUGAAGGCCUUCGGGUUGUAAAAUUCUGUUAUAAGGGAAGAAUGGCUCUAGUAGGAAAUGGCUAGAGUGUGACGGUACCUUAUGAGAAAGCCACGGCUAACUACGUGCCAGCAGCCGCGGUAAUACGUAGGUGGCGAGCGUUAUCCGGAAUUAUUGGGCGUAAAGAGCGCGCAGGUGGUUGAUUAAGUCUGAUGUGAAAGCCCACGGCUUAACCGUGGAGGGUCAUUGGAAACUGGUCAACUUGAGUGCAGAAGAGGGAAGUGGAAUUCCAUGUGUAGCGGUGAAAUGCGUAGAGAUAUGGAGGAACACCAGUGGCGAAGGCGGCUUCCUGGUCUGUAACUGACACUGAGGCGCGAAAGCGUGGGGAGCAAACAGG